rnacentral:lncRNA from 1 species
UGGAGGAGGAAGAAAGGACUCUUGUAGAUCAGAUUUUAUCCCAGUUGGUAAAUCCAACCGGAACAAAAGAUUAGAGCUUUUGUCCCGGUUGAUGUUUACUCCCAGUUGGUAACGCCAAUCGGGGCAAAAGCUCCAACCUUUUGUCCCGGUUGGUAAGGUUGGAUUUACCAACCGAGAUAACUGGUUUUGUCCCGGUUGGUAAUUCCAACCGGGGGUAAAGGGUGGUCUAUAGUUCCUGUUGCAAAAAAGAACCGAGAGUAAAGGUGCACCCCAUUCCAG